rnacentral:rRNA from 1 species
UGCGUAGGAGGGCAGGUAAGUCAGUGGUGAAAUCUCCGAGCUUAACUCGGAAACUGCCGUUGAUACUAUCUGUCUUGAAUACCGUGGAGGUGAGCGGAAUAUGUCAUGUAGCGGUGAAAUGCUUAGAUAUGACAUAGAACACCAAUUGCGAAGGCAGCUCGCUACACGAAUAUUGACUCUGAGGCACGAAAGCGUGGGGAUCAAACAGGAUUAGAUACCCUGGUAGUCCACGCCCUAAACGAUGGAUACUCGACAUACGCGAUACACAGUGUGUGUCUGAGCGAAAGCAUUAAGUAUCCCACCUGGGAAGUACGACCGCAAGGUUGAA